CCUACGGGUGGCAGCAGUAGGGAAUCUUCCACAAUGGGCGAAAGCCUGAUGGAGCAACGCCGCGUGGGUGAAGAAGGUCUUCGGAUCGUAACACCCUGUUGUUAGAGAAGAAAGUGCGUGAGCGUAACUGUUCACGUUUCGACGGUAUCUAACCAGAAAGCCACGGCUAACUACGUGCCAGCAGCCGCGGUAAUACGUAGGUGGCAAGCGUUAUCCGGAUGUAUUGGGCGUGAAGGGGACACAGGCGGUCUUUUAAGUCUGAUGUGAAAGUCUUCGGCUUAACCGGAGUAGUGCAUUGGAAACUGGGAGACUUGAGUGCAGAAGAGGAGAGUGGAAUUCCAUGUGUAGCGGUGAAAUGCUUAGAUAUAUGGAAGAACACCAGUGGCGAAAGCGGCUCUCUGGUGUGUAACUGACGCUGAGGUUCGAAAGCGGGGGUAGCAAACAGGAUUAGAUACCCCAGUAGUC
rnacentral:rRNA from 1 species